AGAGGCCCGCGUACCGCAAAAAAAAAAAAAAAAAAAAAAGCACCACAGUAGCUAAGAACAGUCUUGGUAAUACCUGUCUUUCAUAUUAGCUGUCAGUCAAGGUCCCCAGCACAUAACUAGAUCUUCACUAAGGGCCAGUCUCUCCUUCAGGGAAGCAUCUAACAAAGCAUGUAUUCCAUAACUGAACAUGCAAAUUCUCGAACAUUAACAGAUAAUAUAAAUUAUAUUUCCUAAGGUAAUAAACACCACACGAUUGUGCUAAAAAAUCUUUGCAUGGUGCUGUGUUAACCUUGCGUCCUUAGAUCUACGCUACAGAUUAUUGUACUAAAGUCAAUUUCUACUUUAACAUUAAUAGCAGGGUAUAGUUCUCACGUUGUUUCUUAAGAAAUGAUAGAACUGCUUGGAAUUUCCCUUACGUUUGCAUACAUAUUUCAUUGUUCUUAUACUAGGAGUGUAAUAGAUUUGCUUCUUGUCUAAUUACAAUGUAAACUGUAGAAUUCAGCACUCCAGUUCUCAGGGUGGUAAUGUGCUCUGUAGUUUCAUGCUGAUUGGUUUUACUUAUAUGAAUGUGUUUAUAGAUGCUCCUUAGGGCCGGAGCUCUGGCCCUUAAGAAUACCAUGUGCGUGUUCAUCAGUAAAGAUAAGCACCAGUGACUAAUAGAUAGAUCCACUUUCAAUCUAUGUUUUCCUAGUUUUAAAAACACAAGGAUUUAAUGGCCAGUAUUUUAUUUCGGAUUUUUAUGUCUAGAUUCAUAAAUGAAACGGGCCUAUCCUUUUCUUAUACUAUCUAUUGAUCUUAGAAUUAAGAACACCAUCAUGGAGUGAUUUUAAUAUCGUUUAUUUUUAUAUUUUCUUAAACAAUUUGAAAAUACAGAGUAUCGCUGGUCCCUGAAAGUUUGGUGAAAUACAUGUAAAACCAUCUGGGCCUGUAUUUUUUGGAGAGUUGGAUAAAGGACAAGGAGUUAGGAUUACCAUUUUAAUUUUAUGGGCUCUGGUUUUUUUAAGUUUUCUUUUCCUUCUUGCACUAGAGCUUUUAAUAGUUUUUCUAAAAGUUUAUAUCAUCUAAUUUAUUGUUGUAUAGUUGCUAAUAACAUUUUUCACUCAUUCUUAAAUUCCUUAUGAAAUGGUUUGUAUGUGUGAACAAGGAGAUGUAUGCUACAGUUCUUUGCAGUUGAAGUCACUUGCUUAUCACUCCUGAUUCUAGUUCCAUUGCUUCCCUCCCCAAAGGUGGCACCACUCCUGCAUCUGAGGUCCAUCGUUCCCUGCAUUUUUGGAUUCCUCAACUACAUAUGUAUGCCUAAAACAUACUAGCAGGACAGGCACUGAGCUGGGGACUUGCCGAGGUGACCGCCUACCGGGAUUCACCGGGACAGACAAGCACAGCGAGGACAGUGUGUGCAGCAGCACGUGGACCAGGGACCGUUUCAAGUGGAUGGAGAGCCGCCAGGAAUUCGUGACAUCCCGGGAGCCGCCACAGCUGGACGCUGAUGGAGACCUGAAUGGGGGCUGAUGCGAAGUCCUGCUCCUUCUCGCCGGCCUGCAGCUGGACCAGCACCUGGUGGAGCUGAGCAGGGAGAGCGUCAGCGUCCGCUGCAUCUGGCCCCCAGGGGUUUGUCCCCAAGUUUCUCUUGUGUCACCUGUCAUUAUCAUCGCUAAUGACCUUACACACACUGAAGUGACUUGUCUGAAAAUCAAUCUCCGGCCAGGGACCUGCCCCAAACCCUGCAAUGGCUGCGCCUCGUCACUAGGAUGAACCCUCAGGCCUUCAGGACCCCCUCACUGCUCGUGCACCUCACACACACCAAGUAGUGCCCACCGUGGGGCCUUCGUCCCCCAGGCCUCCGACUCCUCCUUCAUCCUGUAGCGCUGACCUCUGGAACCUGUGUCCACCUGCACACGGGCCCCUUCCACUUUCCAGGGCCUAAAUCAGUGCUGCCAGGUAACUGCCACCCUAACUCUCCCAGGGAGUGUCCACAGCACCUGCAACAGCCGCAGGCCUUCCCUCGGCGGUUUUUCUCUCAAAGGGAAACCUCAGUCCCUCUGAGAUGUCACCUGCUCUGGGGCACAUGUGCCGUCACUGGAGGGGAAGGAGAGUUGUCCAGGAUGUCACUUGAGACUUUUCUUAGAGUAAAACCCUGGGAUGCUGCGGGCUGACAUCAGAGGCUGGAGGAAACGCACGUUCCCGGGCAGGACAGACAGGCAGCCAGCUGGCUGUCCCCCGGGCUAGAAGGGCACUAGAGACACUGUCCAGUGGAUAGUUAGAAGGAGGAAAAGACUGGUGAACUUGACCCAUAGCCCCUACACUCACCCCAGAAGAUGAAGUCAAGAAGAAAGAGAAAACCCUUAGAUGUACUUGAGGGGCCUCAAGGCCGAAUGGGAGUGAAGAGGCCUGGCUCUUGCUCCACGGCCUGGCCUGGGAGGAGAAAGCAAAUGGGCUACAGCAAGGAAGAAGGGCACCUCUCGGGGCGAGAGGGACCUGACAAGGGUCCUAGUGCUGAGCAACAUAAAGGCUCUGUGCAGCUUCCAGGCACAGGUUAAAAUCAGUUGAGAAAGUCUUCCCCCAAAAUUCUCAAAGCACAAGAGCACGUCCACCCAGUGGCAGGCAGCAUGGGUGCCUUGCGUCUGGCCCAAGAGCUGUCAGAGGUUUCAGGCUCCAGCAUUCUUGUUCACACACUGAUUUUUGUCAGGCCUGAAGAAACCUCCUUCAGGCAGACCUGAGCUUAAGAAAUGUCCGUGACUGAUCCCUCACUGGAGUCCACACAGCUGAUGCCCAGCCUCAUGGGCCGCAGCGUUCCCCUGGCCAACGGAACAUGCCCACCCAGAAGCCGGCCCCAGCCCACUGCCAGGACCUGUGGAGAAGCCUUCACUGGGCCCUUCCCUCCUGAGCACAGGCAGAGCCGUGUGUGCACCUCUAAGCUAUGGGGUGGCUGUUUGCCUUGGGUUUGGAAAGAGCUCGCUGUGGUGUGGGCUGUCCCCUACCUCCCCCUGCCUCACGGGGUCUGGGCUGGGGCUGCACUGGUCUUUCUGGCACAGAACUCCAAGGAAGCUAAGAAUUCUAAAUUAUCUGAAACUGCCUUCCAGGUUAUCAAGGUGGAAGGGUGGAACAAGUUUUAUGUCACUGUUUCCUGGCCUGAUUUAUUUAUAACCUUUCAAUUCUGUAGAAAAUGGCGUGGGGCCUCUGUGUUCUCACCAGGGCCCCACCAAGAGUAGGGUUGGGCUUGGACUCUUCCAACUGAGUUUAGGGAAAGGCCAGUGUCCUUUGAUUAUAAAAUACCAGUUCUCAGCUACUGGGAUCCUAUUGUGUGCCAUCUACUCACCUUUUCUCUAAC